rnacentral:rRNA from 1 species
AGAACGAACGCUGGCGGCAGGCUUAACACAUGCAAGUCGAACGCCCCGCAAGGGGAGUGGCAGACGGGUGAGUAACGCGUGGGAAUCUACCCAGUUCUACGGAAUAACACAGGGAAACUUGUGCUAAUACCGUAUACGCCCUACGGGGGAAAGAUUUAUCGGGAUUGGAUGAGCCCGCGUUGGAUUAGCUAGUUGGUGGGGUAAUGGCCUACCAAGGCGACGAUCCAUAGCUGGUCUGAGAGGAUGAUCAGCCACACUGGGACUGAGACACGGCCCAGACUCCUACGGGAGGCAGCAGUGGGGAAUAUUGGACAAUGGGCGAAAGCCUGAUCCAGCCAUGCCGCGUGAGUGAUGAAGGCCUUAGGGUUGUAAAGCUCUUUCAGUGGGGAAGAUAAUGACGGUACCCACAGAAGAAGCCCCGGCUAACUUCGCGCCAGCAGCCGC